CUCGAUAACACAUUUGUGAACAUUUAAUUUCUACACUAUGGGAGAAAAUUAAGAACUUUCAAAACAAUAUAAACUUUUUGAGGUCACCAAGGUACCAUGAAGUAAAUUAUUGCCCCACAGUUCUAAAUGGUACCUAGUAGCCAGGAAGAGUUUAAUGCACCUUUCAAAGUGCCUAAUUUACUCUCAGGGAGGAACAGAAUAGUGGACAGGCUCUGGAUGAUGAAUUACACAUCAAGAUGCAUUUUCCCAAGUGAAUUGGGCUCAAUGUUGUCUGAGUAAAAUGAAUGCCUCACAUCUAUUUCAAACUUGUGAAGGAAAAGGUCUACAAAUAGUUUCGGAAGUCUAAAAAACACCAUUCCAUUUACCUAAAUGCAGUAAAGGGCAAGGCAAACUCAGUUACAUAAAAUAGGACUAUUGGUGAUAAAAUGCUGGCCAAGGCAACUGAAUGAAAAGAAUCCCGUGUGUAGUUUGGAAGGGUCAUGGAACAAGUAAAACUGAGAAUGAAAUCUCAUCUGAAAGAUAGCUAAACUUUCUGUAAUUCUUGGGUGUUCCAGAAAGGACUUCCUUGCAAGAAUUUAACCUGUCCAACCUUGUAGAAUCUAUCACAUCUGCCAGGAUCACAACUGAAGGUGGUAUGUCUCCAGGCCAUCAAUGCUGUUGUAUGUAUUUACUGAAAAAUUUCUUUGUUUCUUUUCUUUUCUUUUUUUCCUUUCUUUCUUUCUUUUUUUUUUGAGAUGGAGUCUCGCUCUGUCGCUCCUGCCUUAGCCUCCUGAGUAGCUGGGCUUGCAGGCAUGUGCCACCAUGCCCAGCUAAUUGUGUAUUUUUAGUAGAGACGGGGUUUCUCCAUGUUGGUCAGGCUGGUCUCGAACUCCCGACCUCAGGUGAUCCACUCGCCUCGGCCUCCCAAAGUGCUGGGAUUACAGGCAUGAGCCACCGCGCCCGGCUGAAUAAUUUCUAUUGCAAAUAAAUAAUAAAGUAUUUCUGCCUUUUGAAAAUUUUCCUUUGUUAGUCUUACAGUUUCAGAGAGAUUACAUGAAUGUCUGGUAACUUACUUAUUAUUGCUUUUCCUUUGGGGAGUGAUAAAAGAUUCCGGAGUUAUUUUUGAAUCCUGGGGCUCUGAACUCAUGUGAUCCUUACUUCCAAAUAACUUUAAGCAAUUGAAACUUAAAAGCACACUGACUUUGUAUUAUCACAGUUUUACUUUCACAGAUGUCUGGCUAUUCAAUUCAUUUAGUAUCAUAUUUAAGACUACCGUAACUAAAUGUAAUGCUCUUAGACUGUAAGACCAUUGAGGACAGAUUCUAUAACAAAGUAGAUUGUGUUACUAUUCACCAAAUAUUCGGGUUUCUCUCCCCGUGGUGCCCUCCCCCGUAAGAGAUUAUGUGUCCCCUUUUGGCUGAAUUUAGGAAUAGUCAUGGGAGGAAGUGACAUGUAAGUAGUUCUGUGCAGAAGCUUUGAGAUUAGUGCUUGAUUCACCAUUUCUCUUUUCUCUCAAUAUCCCAUCAAUAUCCCACGUCAAGGCUCCUCAAUCGAACUGGGUGUGCUAG
rnacentral:lncRNA from 10 species